rnacentral:lncRNA from 1 species
GAAAUUAAUAGAUUGGAGAUACGUGGUACGUUCCUGUAGUCGGUGAACUGUCACCGAUGGCGAACGGACCAGUUAAGUAUCGAAAAUCAGAAGCAACGGGCAGAGGAAGGUGGGCCAAAAAUACAAGAGAGAGCUUAUUAUCGAAAUUCUAUAGUGUGACCUACACAAAAGAAAAUGUUCCCAGGUGGUACGUUCCUGUAGUCGGUGACCGAUGGCGAACGGACCAGUUAAGUAUCGAAGAGAAGAAGACGAAACAGAAAGAAAUUAAUAGAUUGGAGAUACGUGGUACGUUCUUGUAGUCGGUGAACUGUCACCGAUGGCGAACGGACCAGUUAAGUAUCGAACAGAAGAAAGAAAAAUAAGAAGCAACGGACAGAGGAAGGUGGGCCAAAAAUACAAGAGAGAG